UGACUGGUGGCAUGACACCCUUGUUGGU
rnacentral:piRNA from 1 species